AUCUCUUCUCAGCCUUUUGGUUAAGAUCAAGUGUAGUAUCUGUUCCUAUCAGUUUAAUAUCUGAUAUAUCCUCUAUCCGAGGACAAUAUAUUAAAUGGAUUUGGGAGACAGGGAGAUUGAAUAGGAGCUUGCUCUAUACACUGUGCACAUCAACCUGCUAUUGCAGUACUUCCAGGAACGGUGCACCAAAA
rnacentral:snRNA from 1 species